GUCGAAAGACAAGAUGCACUUGGUGCACUUCGUGCGGAAAAAACAAACAGGGGCCGCCUUCCCUUUUCACUUUCCUUUUUGUUCCCUCUCGUCACCUCUAUUCGCGAUUCACAAUCCGAUUUCGGGCCGUUACGAUUCCAUUUCGAAUUCGUGGCUCGUUUGAAAAAAAAAAGAAGAAGAAAAGGAAAAAAGGAGCACUGAUUCUUUCCCGAACGAAAUGUCGGGAAAUGGGUCUUCGGGUUUAAAAACAUCGAUGCAUUAGGGAAUGAAAUAUUACAACGAAUAGGAAUUUUGUUAAAAAAAUGGAUUAUCGAAUGUUCUUGCAAAUUUACAAAGACCGUUGAACCAUUAAAAGUGGAAAUUGUAAAACUAUAGAAUUGUAAAAAAUUAUAAAAAUCAAGGUUUAUUAUAAAAACAAAUUAAAAUUAACAAUAAAUAGUUCGAUCAAAGAAAAAGGAAUAUAGAAAACUAGAAAUCAAUAAACAUAAAUGGAUAGAAAAAAAAAUUUCAGAUUUUCCCAGUAGAUAAAGGACCCGUCCAAUUUAAUUAGCAUGAAUUCUCUUUUAUCACCGUAUGAAAGUGCAUUGGACCGGGUGCUCGCAAAUGAAAAAAGAGCUAGAAAUAAAGAAAUUCUUAAAUUGGAAUUCUCCCAGUGAGAAUACAUGGGAUUCAAGAAUCUCGUAGAGAGGUAACUAAGGUAAGAUAAACCUUAAUUUCAUUGUUUCAAGAUAAAAAAAAGAAAAAAUUAUUUUGUACCUAACAUAAAUUGUUAAGACUCUAUUUGAAUAAAACUUCAAUGAAAGUUUUAACAUGGAAUUAAUUAAACUGAAACGUCUUACAAGGAAAAAAAAAUACAUCACUCUAGAAAAAUUCCAAUGAAAAUUUACGUAAGUAGAGUAUGAUAUAUUUUUCGACCGAAAAUCUCUUCGAGAGAUCACUCGAAAGUAUAAUUUUUUACGAUAAUGGACCAUUAAAAAUCUAAUCGUUUUGCUCAAAACCGGUUUGCUCAAGGUUAAGAUUUCGAAAUGAUAUUCCAUCAAUAAAAAAAAAAAUUGCUCCCCAUAUGAUCCAUUAUAUAUCAUAAACUAGAUUUUUGCGACCAAUUGUAUAUCGCACUCUCUUAAGAACUCUUAUACGGAAAAGAAAGAUAAAUUGCAUAAAUGAAAUAAAUAUCACGAUCACGAGCACGA